rnacentral:rRNA from 1 species
AGAGUUUGAUCAUGGCUCAGNACGAACGCUGGCGGCGUGCCUAAUACAUGCAAGUCGAGCGAACAGAGAAGGAGCUUGCUCCUCUGACGUUAGCGGCGGACGGGUGAGUAACACGUGGGCAACCUACCUUAUAGUUUGGGAUAACUCCGGGAAACCGGGGCUAAUACCGAAUAAUCUAUUUUACUUCAUGGUGAAAUACUGAAAGACGGUUUCGGCUGUCGCUAUAAGAUGGGCCCGCGGCGCAUUAGCUAGUUGGUGAGGUAACGGCUCACCAAGGCGACGAUGCGUAGCCGACCUGAGAGGGUGAUCGGCCACACUGGGACUGAGACACGGCCCAGACUCCUACGGGAGGCAGCAGUAGGGAAUCUUCCACAAUGGGCGAAAGCCUGAUGGAGCAACGCCGCGUGAGUGAAGAAGGUUUUCGGAUCGUAAAACUCUGUUGUAAGGGAAGAACAAGUACAGUAGUAACUGGCUGUACCUUGACGGUACCUUAUUAGAAAGC